UAUCUUCAGGGCGGGGUGUAAGUCCCCACCGGCGGUAAAGCCCGCGAACUAGAAAUAGUGGAUUCGGUGAGAUUCCGAAGCCGACAGUUAAAGUCUGGAUGAAAGAAGAG
rnacentral:ncRNA from 1 species